rnacentral:rRNA from 1 species
GACGAACGCUGGCGGCGUGCCUAAUACAUGCAAGUCGAACGCUGAAGGAGGAGCUUGCUCUUCUGGAUGAGUUGCGAACGGGUGAGUAACGCGUAGGUAACCUGCCUGGUAGCGGGGGAUAACUAUUGGAAACGAUAGCUAAUACCGCAUAACAGUAGAUGUUGCGUGACAUUUACUUAAAAGGUGCAAUUGCAUCACUACCAGAUGGACCUGCGUUGUAUUAGCUAGUUGGUGGGGUAACGGCUCACCAAGGCGACGAUACAUAGCCGACCUGAGAGGGUGAUCGGCCACACUGAGACUGGGACACGGCCCAGACUCCUACGGGAGGCAGCAGUAGGGAAUCUUCGGCAAUGGACGGAAGUCUGACCGAGCAACGCCGCGUGAGUGAAGAAGGUUUUCGGAUCGUAAAGCUCUGUUGUAAGAGAAGAACGAGUGUGAGAGUGGAAAGUUCACACUGUGACGGUAGCUUACCAGAAAGGGACGGCUAACUACGUG